rnacentral:rRNA from 1 species
AUUGAACGCUGGCGGCAGGCCUAACACAUGCAAGUCGAGCGGAUGAAGGGAGCUUGCUCCUGGAUUCAGCGGCGGACGGGUGAGUAAUGCCUAGGAAUCUGCCUGGUAGUGGGGGAUAACGUCCGGAAACGGGCGCUAAUACCGCAUACGUCCUGAGGGAGAAAGUGGGGGAUCUUCGGACCUCACGCUAUCAGAUGAGCCUAGGUCGGAUUAGCUAGCUGGUGGGGUAAAGGCCUACCAAGGCGACGAUCCGUAACUGGUCUGAGAGGAUGAUCAGUCACACUGGAACUGAGACACGGUCCAGACUCCUACGGGAGGCAGCAGUGGGGAAUAUUGGACAAUGGGCGAAAGCCUGAUCCAGCCAUGCCGCGUGUGUGAAGAAGGUCUUCGGAUUGUAAAGCACUUUAAGUUGGGAGGAAGGGCAGUAAGUUAAUACCUUGCUGUUUUGACGUUACCAACAGAAUAAGCACCGGCUAACUUCGU